ACCUGGCUGGCUCAGUGGAUAGAGCAUAGGACUGUUGAUCUUGGGGUUGUGGGUUCGAGCUCCACUUUAGGUG
rnacentral:tRNA from 1 species